AAAUUCUAAAAGGCUUGGUUUAAGCACCUUUAAAUGCUACAUAAUUCUAGGGUUGGGAAAAAAUCUGGAAAUUAUUUUUAUUAAAAACUAUGUGAUUUUAGGAAUCUAAAAAAUUGGUCUCAUGAUUUUACCAUUUUCUACUAUUUUCUACAGAUUUCCCGAGUUGGCAGUAAAAAGAAAAAGAUAAACCAUGAAUAGUGACAAGCCGGAUCUGGCCCAAGUCGGCCCACGAAUAGGGGAAAAGGCGCGCGCCUGCGCCUUGGUUUGCGUCGGGGCUCCAAGGGUUUCAAACAAUCAUGAAACGCCCGCUGGUACUGUUCUAAUGUGUCACUGACAUUUUCACUUAAACUCUUCCCUUCUUCCUUCACACGACCAGGCCUCCGACCACGGACGGCGGCGUGAUUACUCCGGCGAACCUACAUAGGCCGCCAUACUUCAUAAUACAUGCUCAAAUUUGCUCUUACCCCUAAUUCCACUCUUGGCGCCACACCAGGGAUCGAAAAUCAGGCAUGAACUGAAUCCAAGAGCUCAGUCUAUGAGCACCUGCGGACCAGAAAUCUUCACGGACUCGUUCGCAGUGAUACAACGUGGUAUCAUUCGAAGUGAGAGUACGAUAAGCUUUGGUAACUCACCUGGACUCAAGGACGAUGGUCAGGAAGACGAGUGAAAGGAUAGAGCGGUGAGUCAACGGAGGGAGUGUCCACGGCGGCGUUCCAUGGUGGCGACACAGUGUUCCGGGGUUCCGGCUGUGGUAGAGUUCAAUUGGGCGUGUCGAUGAGCAUCACGAUAUGUAAGAGAACUCAAAACACUCACAAGCCCAACCCAAGUUACCUCAGAGAGCUUUAUCCACGGCGAGACGUCUCGCAACGGCGCGGAUGACCGAUUUGGGGGGAUUUUCGAAUUCCCGGGGUAUGGUGGAUGGCAGGAUAUGUUUGGGGUUGUGUUUGGUUUGUGACAAGGGGGCGGAGCAAGGGAAUUCUCAAUU
rnacentral:lncRNA from 1 species